UACGUAGGGGGCUAGCGUUGUCCGGAAUCAUUGGGCGUAAAGAGCGUGUAGGCGGCUUGGUAAGUCCGCUGUGAAAGUCCAGGGCUUAACCCUGGAAAGCCAGUGGAAACUGUCAAGCUAGAGUCCGGAAGAGGUGAGUGGAACUCCUGGUGUAGCGGUGAAAUGCGCAGAUAUCAGGAAGAACACCAAUGGCGAAGGCAGCUCACUGGGACGGUACUGACGCUGAGACGCGAAAGCGUGGGGAGCGAACAGG
rnacentral:rRNA from 1 species